rnacentral:rRNA from 2 species
GGUGAGCGGCGGACGGGUUAGUAACGCGUGGGAAUAUAUCCUUUGUUAUGGAAUAUCCUCUGUAAACGGAGAGUAAUACCGUAUGAGCCCUUCUGGGGAAAGAUUUAUCGCCAAAGGAUUAGCCCGCGUUAUAUUAGGUAGUUGGUGGGGUAAUGUGCUACCAAGCCUACGAUCUAUAGCUGGUUUUAUAGGAUGAUCUGCAACACUGGGACUGAGACACGGCCCACACUCUUACGGGAGGCAGCAGUGGGGAAUCUUGUACAAUGGGGGCAACCCUGAUCCCGCCAUGCGGCGUGAGUGAUGAAGGCCUUAGGGUCGUAUAGCUCUUUCGCCUGUGAAGAUAAUGACGGUAGCAGGUAAAGAAACCCCGGCUAACUCUGUGCCAGCAGCCGCGGUAAUACGGAGGGGGUUAGCGUUG